rnacentral:rRNA from 1 species
AGAAAGAUACGAUAACUUCGGGAAACCGGAGCUAAUACCGGAUAAUAUUUUGAACCGCAUGGUUCAAAAGUGAAAGACGGUCUUGCUGUCACUUAUAGAUGGAUCCGCGCUGCAUUAGCUAGUUGGUAAGGUAACGGCUUACCAAGGCAACGAUGCAUAGCCGACCUGAGAGGGUGAUCGGCCACACUGGAACUGAGACACGGUCCAGACUCCUACGGGAGGCAGCAGUAGGGAAUCUUCCGCAAUGGGCGAAAGCCUGACGGAGCAACGCCGCGUGAGUGAUGAAGGUCUUCGGAUCGUAAAACUCUGUUAUUAGGGAAGAACAUAUGUGUAAGUAACUGUGCACAUCUUGACGGUACCUAAUCAGAAAGCCACGGCUAACUACGUGCCAGCAGCCGCGGUAAUACGUAGGUGGCAAGCGUUAUCCGGAAUUAUUGGGCGUAAAGCGCGCGUAGGCGGUUUUUUAAGUCUGAUGUGAAAGCCCACGGCUCAACCGUGGAGGGUCAUUGGAAACUGGAAAACUUGAGUGCAGAAGAGGAAAGUGGAAUUCCAUGUGUAGCGGUGAAAUGCGCAGAGAUAUGGAGGAACACCAGUGGCGAAGGCGACUUUCUGGUCUGUAACUGACGCUGAUGUGCGAAAGCGUGGGGAUCAAACAGGAUUAGAUACCCUGGUAGUCCACGCCGUAAACGAUGAGUGCUAAGUGUUAGGGGGUUUCCGCCCCUUAGUGCUGCAGCUAACGCAUUAAGCACUCCGCCUGGGGAGUACGACCGCAAGGUUGAAACUCAAAGGAAUUGACGGGGACCCGCACAAGCGGUGGAGCAUGUGGUUUAAUUCGAAGCAACGCGAAGAACCUUACCAAAUCUUGACAUCCUUUGACAACUCUAGAGAUAGAGCCUUCCCCUUCGGGGGACAAAGUGACAGGUGGUGCAUGGUUGUCGUCAGCUCGUGUCGUGAGAUGUUGGGUUAAGUCCCGCAACGAGCGCAACCCUUAAGCUUAGUUGCCAUCAUUAAGUUGGGCACUCUAAGUUGACUGCCGGUGACAAACCGGAGGAAGGUGGGGAUGACGUCAAAUCAUCAUGCCCCUUAUGAUUUGGGCUACACACGUGCUACAAUGGACAAUACAAAGGGCAGCGAAACCGCGAGGUCAAGCAAAUCCCAUAAAGUUGUUCUCAGUUCGGAUUGUAGUCUGCAACUCGACUACAUGAAGCUGGAAUCGCUAGUAAUCGUAGAUCAGCAUGCUACGGUGAAUACGUUCCCGGGUCUUGUACACACCGCCCGUCACACCACGAGAGUUUGUAACACCCGAAGCCGGUGGAGUAACCUUUUAGGAGCUAGCCGUCGAAGGUGGGACAAAUGAUUGGGGUGAAGUCGUAACAAGGUAGCCGUAUCGGAAGGUGCGGCUG